rnacentral:rRNA from 1 species
AUCCAGCCGUAUCGUUACAGCCCAGCGCAAAAGGAUGAGAUUGAAAAGCAAGUUGCGGACAUGUUGGCGCAAGGGAUUAUUGUACCGAGCACCAGUCCCUUUGCGUCGCCAGUCUUGCUAGUUCAGAAAAAGGACCUGACCUGGCGCUUCUGCGUGGACUACCGGCACCUCAAUGCAGUGACAGUGAAGAAUCAGUUUCCUCUACCAGUGAUCGAUGAGCUUCUGGAUGAAUUAGCGGGUGCCAAAUUCUUCACCACCCUUGACCUGCAGGUUGGGUACCACCAAAUCUGUAUGAAGCCCGAGGAUGAGCACAAAACAGCCUUUAAGACGCACUACGGCCAUUUCGAGUUCCGGGUGCUGCCCUACGGAGUCAUCGGUGGUCCGUCAACUUUUCAAGGGGGAAUG